GGCGGACCAGACAUAAACAAGCUCGAUUCCAAACUUAUUUCAACGAUUUUACAGACACAUGGACUCUGCCUAAAUAAAAAACAAAUGGUAUAACAUCGAUAUCCAUGACAGUGAUGAAUUUAGAGUUGAGUGGUUUUACCAUCCAAAGUCAGAAGAACCAGUGUUGAUAAGUUCUACACAUGUCUGCUACAGCAGGGAAUGGAACCAACACCAGAUCUAAUACUUCACGAGCAGUAAGGAUAUACAUAGCAUUAUCAGAGUGUAGCGGUACUAGCCACUUGAUGACCAAGUUCAUCUGACAGACUCCUGUUUUAGGAAACACCACAAACAGGAACUUAAAAGUUCAUGAGAGGAAUAGAAAAAGUUUCAAAUUGCUGCUCCCAGAGGGCUUAAUUGUCAACGUCCUAUCUUGUAUUGAUAGGGUUAAAUAAAAAAUGAUUAUUGUUAAUUAUUAUAUUAUCCAUCAAAUUUGAUAUCUUAGAUCUUUUUCUUGCAAUUCAAAUUAUCAUACUAAUGGGGAGUGUUAUAUAAAAGAAAUAAUAAAUACCACUUGUCAUGUUGAAACAAUGUUUAGUUUGAUUAUUGUUUUUAAUUGGAAUGUACCAAAAUAGUCAUUUUAUAUUUAAAUUUCACUCUUAAUGAUUUUCUUUGUAAACUAUUCAUUUGACAGUUAAUGGCUGAAUUGGAAAAUAAACAACAGUAUUUGACAUUAAUUAUAUUGACACAGGACUGCAUUUACUGUAAAAAUAGUUUUUACAAAAGAUGUUUGUCAAACAUUAUGCC